CAUACCUAUUCGAAGGGAUAGGGUCGGUUUGGCCGGAUUUCACACAGGUGUUGCAUGGCUGUCGUCAGCUCGCGUCGUGAGAUGUUGGGUUAAGUCCCGCAACGAGCGCAACCCUCAUCCUUAGUUACCAUCAGGUUAUGCUGGGGACUUUAAGGAAACUGCCAGUGACAAACUGGAGGAAGGUGGGGAUGAUGUCAAGUCAUCAUGGCCCUUAUGGAGUGGGCUACACACGUGCUACAAUGGUGAUUACAAUGGGCUGCAAGGUCGCAAGGCUGAGCUAAUCCUAAAAAAUCAUCUCAGUUCGGAUUGUUCUCUGCAACCCGAGAGCAUGAAGUUGGAAUUGCUAGUAAUCGUGGAUCAGCAUGCCACGGUGAAUACGUUCUCGGGUCUUGUACACACUGCCCGUCACGCCAUGGGAAUUGGUUUCACUCGAAGCU
rnacentral:rRNA from 1 species